AUAUUCAAUGGUGGCGGCUGUUGCUGGCGUGGCUGUGGGAGGCAGGCUGGUGGUGGGGUGGCCGAUUGGUGGUGGAGGAAGAGGGUUGGGGUGUAAAGAAGUGUUUUUACUUUUUUUUCCUUUAUUUAUUUAUUUAUUUUUCUUUUUUUUUUUAAAUAGUACCAGAUUGUAGUGGAUGCCUUGAACAAAUUCAGGUCAAAGUUGAGAUUAUUUAAAAAUAAUCGAUAGUGAGGAUUAUUUAUGGCCAAUGAACGAUAGUUGGGAUUAUUUUGAGCCAAUUUUCCAAUAAAUAAUUAUUAGUUAAGAUAACAAAAUAGUAGAUAUUUGGCUUAUUCCUUACUUUUCCAAUUAAUAUUUAAUUUUGUUCUUUUAUUAUUAUCCCUAUUUCUAUAUGCUAGAAACCAAAAAUUAAAUUUUGGCACUAACAUUACAAGUAUUCAUCUUCUCCUCAAAACCCCUCCUCCUCCUUCUAUUUCCCCAUGAUUCUCUGUAAUCUUGAGGUAGUAAUGCAAUGUUCGAUUCACGUGAAGCCUUGAAGCAACUUCCUCCCUCUCCUUGCGACAGAACCGGGCAGCCAUCAAACCCCACCUUCUUCCUCUUCUUCUUCCAUCUAUUAUUCAUCAUCUUCUUCAUUUGCCCUUUUUUUUUCCCAAAACCCUUACAUUUUCGAAAACCCCAAUCAUUUUCCUUUCAUUCUUGAUUUCGAAGCAAACUAGCAACCAAAUACAUCAUCUUAUUCUGUCCCAGUUUUGAAUUGUAGUUAACCUCAUUUUCUCUCAUCUUUUAUGAAUUUCGAGAAUGCUUUUGGCAAAUACAAGAACCAUUAUCUAAUUUCUUGGGUUGAUUUCUUUGGUGUACGACUGGGUCAGUGUAGGUGCAAGUUGAGGAAACAUCUCAAGGCUGAAUUCUUGCAGUUUCUCUUUCUGGAUAAUUUCGAAAGAACCAAAUAUUAAAAUUUCCUCCAGUUUCCUAUGAUUUCUCGGCCAAUCAACAGCAACUUCCUUCGUUUCGGUUGCCACUGGUUUCGAAGUGGAAAUGACUUCGCUAAGGAUCUUCUAGUUGAUAGCUAUGGCUUGGACUCAACUCGUUAAAGCAACGUUGUAGUUGUUUGCAGAUCGGAAUCGGUUGGGAACGAGGGUUAGCGGCGAUGAUUAGAGUUACAGAGAUGUUAUAUUGAGCUGAGUACACGACAAGUGUAGUAUUGUAUUAGGUUUUUGAUAGAUGUAUAUUAGACUUGAUUGUGUUGGUUAUAUUGGACUUAUGGAGUGACUUUUAUGAUUACUUGGUAUUUUAGUUAGAUGUUCAGUUUGAGAAUUAGUUGAGUUAGUUACGUUAAAGAACUGGCGACUCAUUUGCUCAAGUUUUGAAAUUGUGAUUUAAGUUUCUUGGAAAACAGACCCCGUGAUGACCCUUUUCACCUAGUCAAUGGUAAGUCGGGUUGUUACAGUUAUAAACUCUUUUAUUGUUUUUUUGGUUUUGUCUUCUACAUAAACACAUAAUCAUUUAGUUCAAUCGGUUCGUACUAAUCGGUUGAUGUGAUUGAUUGUAUCUCAUUGUGAAUUUCCGGUCUCAUAACCCAAGUACCUUUGUAGGGGAAAUAUUACAAAAGGAAAAUAUCGUUGUCGCCUUCAAUCUAUAUCAAGAUUUCUAAGUGACGCUCAUCGUCGCAAACUAAUCUUCUCUACGGUGUUUUCGUUCAAUUCAUGAUUCAUUCAAGCAACGAGUCCGUUGCC